CGCUGGCGGCGUGCCUAAUACAUGCAAGUAGAACGCUGAAGACUUUAGCUUGCUAAAGUUGGAAGAGUUGCGAACGGGUGAGUAACGCGUAGGUAACCUGCCUACUAGCGGGGGAUAACUAUUGGAAACGAUAGCUAAUACCGCAUAACAGCAUUUAACACAUGUUAGAUGCUUGAAAGGAGCAAUUGCUUCACUAGUAGAUGGACCUGCGUUGUAUUAGCUAGUUGGUGAGGUAACGGCUCACCAAGGCGACGAUACAUAGCCGACCUGAGAGGGUGAUCGGCCACACUGGGACUGAGACACGGCCCAGACUCCUACGGGAGGCAGCAGUAGGGAAUCUUCGGCAAUGGGGGCAACCCUGACCGAGCAACGCCGCGUGAGUGAAGAAGGUUUUUCCGGAUCGUAAAGCUCUGUUGUAAGAGAAGAGCGUGUGUGAGAGUGGAAAGUUCACACAGUGACGGUAACUUACCAGAAAGGGACGGCUAACUACGUGCCAGCAGCUGC
rnacentral:rRNA from 1 species